CACAAGCUCCAACCGAGAACCACAGGUGGAGAGUUUGCAAGUUAGGACAGGUUCAGGACGCAGCCGGAGAGCUAGCCGGCACAACGCUGUGAAGAAAGAGGACUUGAAAAUUUCCACUGGCAGGUGGAAAAACAGGAAGGAACUGUCUCAGAACCUGGCUGACCUGAUUCUGCUGAUGACUCAGCUCAGAAGGACUCCUCAUCGGGAAAGUGAAUUGUACGUUACACGUGAAACAGGGAGAGAGGCUCCCUGGUGCUGUGUUUAGGGCCAGGUCUUACCACCCUUCUGCCUGUGACUUCUGGAUAUGUCAGAUCUAUCACCCUCAUGUUCAGGGGAGCCGUGAAGAAACUGAAUGGAUCUCAGUCCUCUGUCUUUGCUCUCUCCUCUAGAGCGUUUAUCACGCAUUGGUGAUUCUCUUCCUAGCAGUUAAAUAUCGACUUUAAGAAAAAGAAUAUCACCCCAGGGCCCAAAGAAGAAACAUUACCCUGGGCUAAUCUGUCCACUAUUUGAAUUGCAAGAACAAAACUUAUCCUCUGAAUGUAACACCUGGAAAGGUCAUCCUGACCCACUUUAUCCACAAGUAUGAGUUGGCACGUAAUAUUGUCCCGGAAACAAGAAUGCUCGAGUCCCCACCCUGCGUGUGCUACCUGUGUGGACACGUGGCCUUGUGUAUCCCUACCCCACCCACCCCACGUGGCAUCUAAUCAUCAUUCUCAUUUAGUUUUUAGCUCAGAUUAUUGCAAAUGUGGACAGUAAAGUCCCUUCAAGAUGGGUCCUUGUGCCUGGGUCAUAUUGCCAUGAUUCUUGGCAGCAUAUCCUUACCUUCCAGCGCAACUGAACGUUCCAAGCUUGAAGGGCUCUUCCCUUUCUGCUCACAAAGCCAGGUGGGGUGGGAGGUGGUGGCUAACUUCUCCCUCACCUGGACUGGUCUGACACAUCCCAGCCCUGGGAGGUUGGCUGAAACCUCCACCCUGCCCCCGUGAGUUAGGUGAGUGAGGUCAGGGCAGAGCCUGGGAAGGGCAAGUCGGCUCUAGAGCCAUGUGCUUCAUCAUCUGUCCAGACUGCUCAGUAAACAGAAAAGGUUCAUUAAAGUGAAAAAAAAAAAAAAAAAAAGCUCCGGGCUCAUCCAGCAGCUCCAGCCUCACUCUUCUCCAGCCUGGCUUUUAGCCACUUCGCCAAGGACGCCAGUUUCUUUUCAUGGGGCUUGGUAUUAGAGAUCCAGGUCUGCCCCGGCCUGUGCUCGGUGUUCCUGGAGCGUCUCUCUUCUGAGCCCUUUCAGUGGAAAGAGCCAGGAAAUACACAUGUGCACGCACACGCGUUAGUAUGCCUGUGUAGACGCCGUCUGCACAUGGGCACGUGUAGAUGCAUAGAUACCUAGACACGUAGUUUAGGCAUCAUGAAUUCAUGCUAGUAUCUCUGGUUCCCGUUUACUGUUUCUUUGUUUUGAAUGUAAGGAUGGAACCCCUUUCUCUCUUUUAUAAAAUUCUUUUAUUUUUUUAAAUUUCCUGGCCUCCCUGGUGCUGCAUGUGGGAUCUUAGAUCCCCCAGCCAGGAUUGGCAACCAGGCCGCUGUAUUGCAGGGAAGUCCCUCCAGUUUUCCUUUCUUACCUUCCCCCUCCCACAUCUAUGUGUCUCUUCUUUCCCAGUGAGAAUCUUAGCUUCCAGAAACAUCAGGACAUGAAUCAUUUGCUCAGUCCUGUAUUACAUCUGAAAUAGUAUCAGAAUACCUUCACCCACAACCACUACAGAAACAAACCUGAUAAAAAGAGGUCAGGAUCUUUCUAGUUCUCCCAUCUUCCUGCCCAGCCUGAGAUGGAGGACAAAUAGCUCAUAGGUCAAAACGGUUAAAAAUUAUUCAAAUUAGGUUUUCCCCUCCUGUGGUUAUAGUUAUUAAUAUUAUUGAUUCUAAAUAAUAAUAUAUUAUUAGAUAACUAACUUACAUUUUUUGUUUGAUUUCUCUUCCAUUAGGUAACAAAAUUUUGUUACCUAAUAAUUGGUGGAUCUGUCUACAAAACUUCGCCUUUGAGUAUUUGUCUGUGUUACAGAAUAUAAUAAACACUUGCUUCCAUUUUCUGGAACUUAUUCACUGUAUCUUCUCAUCCAGAUUUAUUCCCAUCUGUCCAUGCCUUUGUUUCAGAGUAGAUUCUACUGCGGUUCUAAUCAGCUAUGCGUGUUCUAUAUGAAUAAAAUUCCAGGCACACGGAGCCUAGAAAUGUGCAUGUUUUACUACAAGAUACUGAAAUCUCAGUGUGCAGGGGCCUCAUUCCCAGUGCGACUUGAUGGCUCCCACUCUUUGCAGUUUUAAACUUUUAUGUUAAUCUGGCAUUCUGGAUGGGGAUUUUUCUACUUUUCUGUGAGUCAUAGCAAUGUAACAGCUAUAGGAGAGCUAAACUUGGAGAGACUUGUUUUUAAGGAUUUGAGGAUCUGCCCCCUGGCUUUUUCUCAUCUGUAUUUCAUAACAAAAACCUAACAAGGAUUUCACUUUGGUGAAUCUGCCUACUAAAUCGAUGCUUGCACAUAACGCAUUCAUCAAUUAGCAUUUGGGAUUUUGAUUAAACCGGUAUACAAGUAAUUUUGCUUUAGUGGCUGUUAAAAGUAUAUUUUAAAAGGAAAACUAUGUUCUGGCAUUGAAUACUUCAAGGUUCUUCUUCAGUGUAUCAAAAUCUGUGCAUAUUGUAAUGUGGCCUUUUAACGUAUGGGUGCACCCUUGUCAUCUCAGUACUUACUCAGUAUGAUACACAAAAUAACCCACACAUCAAAACGGCCAAUAAAAUAGCAAAGUCAGACUGACAUUCCUGAAGUGCAUAGCACUUCUAUUUGCUUUUCUAUCCCUAACUGGAUCCAUUGUCUCCUUCUUUUACGUUCUACUGCCUAGAACAUUUGCCCCAUUGUUUUCUAAUGCUUUCGUCACACCUUUGUCAGUAAUUACCUUUCUUACUCAGCUUCCAUGGUGACUCUGGGCCUUUGGUUCAUCUUUUUUUGUUUAGCCUCCUUCCUUUUGAAAUCCCCACAUUUCAUUUGUCAACAACUUCUGAUUAUCUCAAAGAUACCUGGGAUUUUUCUGAAGAGUGCUUCUGCUUCAGAUGAGGGCCCUGACCUGGGAUCGCAAGACCCAGGGGACAUCAAGAUGGAGGAUGAGCCAAUGGAGGCAACCUUCCCUAUUCAGAUGGUUUCAGUAAUGCUUUUAAAUCAUCUUAUUCUCCAAGAAAAACAAUUGAAUAUUUUUGCCACUUAUAUUUUUCUAAUAUUGUUCCUGAGUCACACUGCCUUAGUCAUAGUUUAAGUUGUUAGAAAUUGUUUUAAAGAGGUAAAAAAAAAUCCAUCUUUCAUAUAGAUUGUUUUUCAUUUGCAAAUACUAGACAUUUGAGUUAAAAGUCAUAUAACUUGAGAUAGUAAAGGAGAAAUAUCGUGUGAUAUCUCUUACAUGUGGAAUCUAAAAGAAAAUGAUACAAUGAAUUUACUAAACAGAGACUCACAGACUUGGAGAAUGAACUUAUGGUUGUUUGCACACCCUGCAAUAUUUAAAAUGGAUAACCAACAAGGACUUACUGUUUAGCACACGGAACUCUUCUUGGUGUUAUGUGGCAGCCUGGAUGGGAGGGGAGUUUGGGGGAGAAUGGAUACAUGUA